AUUGAACGCUGGCGGCAGGCCUAACACAUGCAAGUCGAACGGUAGCACAGAGAGCUUGCUCUCGGGUGACGAGUGGCGGACGGGUGAGUAAUGUCUGGGAAACUGCCCGAUGGAGGGGGAUAACUACUGGAAACGGUAGCUAAUACCGCAUAACGUCGCAAGACCAAAGUGGGGGACCUUCGGGCCUCACACCAGCGGAUGUGCCCAGAUGGGAUUAGCUAGUAGGUGGGGUAAUGGCUCACCUAGGCGAAGAUCCCUAGCUGGUUUGAGAGGAUGACCAGCCACACUGGAACUGAGACACGGUACAGACUCCGACGGGAGGCAGCAGUGGGGAAUAUUGCACAAUGGGCGCAAGCCUGAUGCAGCCAUGCCGCGUGUAUGAAGAAGGCCUUCGGGUUGUAAAGUACUUUCAGCGGGGAGGAAGGCGGUGGAGUUAAUAACUUCACCGAUUGACGUUACCCGCAGAAGAAGCACCGGCUAACUCCGUGUCAGCCGCCGCCGUAA
rnacentral:rRNA from 1 species